rnacentral:lncRNA from 1 species
UUCUUGUCUUGCAUAUUCUUGUGGAAAACCAAACUCCAAUUUGGUUAUUGUGAUUAUAUUGUUUGUUGUUUAGAAGAAGUUCUUGUGUUAUAUUCUUGUAUAAGACUUCAAGAUAAUCUUGAAGAUAAGGAUCAAGGAGCUUGCAAACACUUAGGACAAUCUUCAUAAGGAGGACUAAGAAUUUCCACAAAUGGAUUCAGGUACGCUUCCGCUCUUGUUGUUGUAGUUCCAAAUUAUUCGAUA